AGUGAACGCUGGCGGCAGGCCUAACACAUGCAAGUCGAACGGCAGCACAGUAAGAGCUUGCCUUUACGGGUGGCGAGUGGCGGACGGGUGAGGAAUACAUCGGCAUCUACUUUUUCGUGGGGGAUAACGUAGGGAAACUUACGCUAAUACCGCAUACGACCUACGGGUGAAAGCAGGGGAUCUUCGGACCUUUCGCGAUUGAAUGAGCCGGUGUCGGAUUAGCUAGUUGGCGGGGUAAAGGCCCACCAAGGCGACGAUCCGUAGCUGGUCUGAGAGGAUGAUCAGCCACACUGGAACUGAGACACGGUCCAGACUCCUACGGGAGGCAGCAGUGGGGAAUCUUGGACAAUGGGCGCAAGCCUGAUCCAGCCAUACCGCGUGGGUGAAGAAGGCCUUCGGGUUGUAAAGCCCUUUUGUUGGGGAAGAAAAGCAGCGGGUUAAUCCCCCGCUGUUCUGACGGUACCCAAAGAAUAAGCACCGGCUAACUUCGUG
rnacentral:rRNA from 1 species